rnacentral:rRNA from 1 species
AGUGAACGCUGGCGGUAGGCCUAACACAUGCAAGUCGAACGGCAGCACAGGAGAGCUUGCUCUCUGGGUGGCGAGUGGCGGACGGGUGAGGAAUACAUCGGAAUCUACUUUUUCGUGGGGGAUAACGUAGGGAAACUUACGCUAAUACCGCAUACGACCUACGGGUGAAAGCAGGGGACCUUCGGGCCUUGCGCGAUUGAAUGAGCCGAUGUCGGAUUAGCUAGUUGGCGGGGUAAAGGCCCACCAAGGCGACGAUCCGUAGCUGGUCUGAGAGGAUGAUCAGCCACACUGGAACUGAGACACGGUCCAGACUCCUACGGGAGGCAGCAGUGGGGAAUAUUGGACAAUGGGCGCAAGCCUGAUCCAGCCAUACCGCGUGGGUGAAGAAGGCCUUCGGGUUGUAAAGCCCUUUUGUUGGGAAAGAAAUCCAGCUGGCUAAUACCCUGGGGUCAUGACGGUACCGUAAGAAUAAGCACCGGCUAACUACGUGCCAGCCGCCGCAGUAA